rnacentral:rRNA from 1 species
AGCAGCCGCGGUAAUUCCAGCUCCAAUAGCGUAUAUUAAAGUUGUUGCAGUUAAAAAGCUCGUAGUUGAAUUUCGGGAUCAAAUUGUCGGUCGUGCCUCGGUACGUACUGGCGUUAUUGGUUCCUCCCUUCUGAAGAACCGCGAUGUCAUUAAUUUGGUGUCGCGGGGGAAUCAGGACUGUUACUUUGAAAAAAUUAGAGUGUUUAAAGCAGGCUCGCGCUUGAAUACAUUAGCAUGGAAUAAUGAAAUAGGACGUUUGAUUCUAUUUUGUUGGUUUCUAGGAUCGACGUAAUGAUUAAUAGGGAUAGUUGGGGGCAUUAGUAUUCAAUUGUCAGAGGUGAAAUUCUUGGAUUUAUUGAAGACUAACUACUGCGAAAGCAUUUGCCAAGGAUGUUUUCAUUAAUUCAAGAACGAAAGUUAGGGGAUCGAAGACGAUCAGAUACCGUCGUAGUCUUAACCAUAAACUGUGCCGACUAGGGAUCGGAUGAUGUUAAUUUUUUAAUGACUCAUUCGGCGCCUU